GACGAACGCUGGCGGCGUGCUUAACACAUGCAAGUCGAACGGAAAGGCCCUGAGUUUGCGGGGUGCACGAGUGGCGAACGGGUGAGUAACACGUGUGUAACCUGCCCCUGACUUUCGGAUAACUUCAGGAAACUGGGGCGCUUACCGCAGAGGAGCUCCUGCUGCACGGGGGGGGAUGGAGAGAGUCGGUGGUUGGGGCUGGUGUGGCGGCUUAUCAGCUGGUUGGUGGGGUAGUGGCUUACGAAGGUUUUGACGGGUAGCCGGCAUGGGAGGGUGACCGGCGUCAUUGGGACUGCGGUACGGAGCAGACUCGUACGGGAGGCAGCGGUGGGGAAUAUUGCACAAUGGGCGGACGCCUGAUGUAGCAGCGCCGCGUGCGGAAUGACGGCCUUCUGGUUGUGAACCGCUUUCGCCGUUGACGAAGCGUGAGUGACGGUAAUGGGUAAAGAAGCACCGGCUAACUACGUG
rnacentral:rRNA from 1 species